AAGCUACCGGCUGCUCUUCGGGACUUGCCAAGAUUUAGAACGAGGGCGAAACUUACAAGUUGGCAAGUAUAUUUAGCAAAUAUUGCGAUUUUUAAGAAUUAUAUCUUCAUGUAAAGUCAUUUUUUAAGGUAAGAUCAAAGUAUUAUCUACGAUCCUUUUAGUUUAAGAAGAAUUUUCAGGAGAUUUGACGAUUUGUUCUUCUAUUAUAUUUGUAUAGGCUCGCGUUUGAUUUUAUAAAUCUGACAGUGCAUAUUUGGUGUUGGGAAUCAUUGUGUUCACGCUUGUAGCUGAUCAAUAUAUUUAUCAGACACUUCGCGUGUUGGUCACGGUGUGGCAACAGGCAACUCAAAUAAAAUUUGCAUCAAUUGUAAACAAACAAACAGAACACGAGAGCCAAUUGCCAUCAAAACAAACGAGAGCCAUUGUACGAAGGUAUCACGUGACUCAGAGCUACUGUAUAUAUAUAAAACUGCAAAUAUUACAGACCUCUAGUUAAUACUGCUGCUGAUAGAUCAAGUGGCAGUGAUAGAAUAUAUUGCAUUUGGUUUAAUGGGGGUAACAAUUGAGCAAUAUCGUGCCUGAAUUGGUGCACAUUUUAAUACUGUAAUUAUAGUGUGAGAAGCAAUGAUCUAUAUUUUUGGCAUCAGAUGUUCUUUUCUCAAUCAUAUAAAUAUGUUGAUGUGAGCCCCUGUAUAUACCCCCCACCCCAUGUAUAAACCCAUCAACAAACGCUUACGAACUUAUAUAAGCCCAGGGCUUAUAAUCGGAGGUUACGGUAUUUGGUUUGUUUACAAUAUUUGGUAUAAGUGAGAUAUUAAUUUUAAAACAUUGCAUUCACUGUUUUAUUUGGCCAAACAAACUAUUAAAAUUACAUGUCAGUAGUUAAACCUACUUGUUAUUAGAAUGGGUAAUAACCCACAAGUACCCCUUUGUAUCCCUAUGAACCAAGCAUAGUGUGUGCGAGAGAGAGCCUAUGGCUAGUAGGCUGGCCAAAUAUAUAACUUUUUAUUGGUAGAGUAUUGCAAAGUUAUUUCAUUACAACUACUCAAAUACCUCCUACAACCCAUCACUAUGUUAGUACUAUAUUCAGAACAAUUAACAAAUUUGGUUGUGAAUUACCUGCAAAGCAUUGCAGUUGAAAUUUGGUUGUGGAUUACCUGCAAAGCAUUGCAGCUGAAAUUUGGUUGUGGAUUACCUGCAAAGCAUUGCAGCUGAAAUUUGGUUGUGGAUUACCUGCAAAGCAUUGCAGCUGCCACAUGAUGCUGCCACAUGAUUCGUCGUCAAAAUGCUGACGCCAUGGUCCUACCCAGUGCACUUAUGGAGGUCCGCCAUUUUGAAUGUUAUCAGGGGGUGAAUGCCUCUUAGGCUGCAUCCAGACUGGGUGCCCGGCACUUGUGCCUGUCACUUGUUUUGGUGCCUAGUUUGAACAUGAUGCUUCCAAAUGAAAUUGGGCACUGUGCCCAAGAAAGGGCACUACCUUUAGAGGUAGUACUCAACAACGGCACUGUGCUCAACAUGUUUUGUGAACCAUUUUGAACAUUGGGCAUCCGUGCCGGGCACUCAGUCUGAACGAGCCCUUAGCUCACUGGCUAGUACUGAUGUUGAGACGCGAUUGGUAACCAGGCCUUCAUGUCAAACAUAAGGUAAUCAAGGCGCCAACUCUUUCGCAAGUUUGCAAUGCGAAUACACGUACGGCAGCAAUUUCACUAACUUUUUGUUAUACUAGUAUUAAAUGUUGCCAAUGUUUGUCUGAGUCUUGGCGGGGGGUCGAAUUUUCGUGACGUCAAUUGCGGACAACGCUAUUAAUUAUUCCGACUAAUGUCCGACUAGUUACGAAGUCGGGUCCGAAGAUUAAAUAGAUCUUUUCAUAAAUAAAGACGCCAUUUGGAAUCGUAAUGCAUUCUGGUAUAGUUAAAAAGUAAAAAUGGCCG